rnacentral:lncRNA from 1 species
AGCACCAACUGGUAACUGACGUUGACUAGGAGCUUCCUGGGCUGAGGACUCGGCCAUCCAUGCUGAACAUUUAUUCACAUUUUCUCCAGAUGGGCAGUUGAGAAACUUGUCUGGGCCACUGAAUAGAGAGCACAUGGCCACAGAGUGCUGCACUUCACCUCCUAGCUCUGUUCUGUUCCAGAAUGUGGCUGACCCACAUCACCUUCCCCCAUUCCAGCUCUUCACAACUGACACCUCAGAAGGCUUCCCAGAGUGAGCAUGUGUGUCCUCUGCUUGAGCACCCUCCUGAGGGAGAGGGUAAGCACAACUCGGAGCAC